rnacentral:rRNA from 1 species
GACAGCAGUAGCCACGGGAAUACGGAGGAUCCAAGCGUUAUCCGGAAUCAUUGGGUUUAAAGGGUCCGUAGGCGGUCUUGUAAGUCAGUGGUGAAAGCCCAUCGCUCAACGGUGGAACGGCCAUUGAUACUGCAGGACUUGAAUUAUUGGGAAGUAACUAGAAUAUGUAGUGUAGCGGUGAAAUGCUUAGAGAUUACAUGGAAUACCAAUUGCGAAGGCAGGUUACUACCAAUUGAUUGACGCUGAUGGACGAAAGCGUGGGUAGCGAACAGGAUUAGAUACCCCAGUAGUCCCUGUCUCUUAUAA